rnacentral:rRNA from 1 species
AAGGGCACCACAAGAACGCGUGGAGCAUGUGGCUUAAUUUGACUCAACGCGGGAAAUCUUACCGGGUCCGGACACACUGAGGAUUGACAGAUAUACGCGCAUAUACUCUCUCGUGGAGUAUAUACGUUCAAAGAUGCUAGUUCUUUCAUGAUUAUGUGAUAGGUGGUGCAUGGCCGUUCUUAGUUCGUGGAGUGAUCUGUCUGCUUAAUUGCGUAUCAAUAAUAGAGACCUAGUAUACGCGUAGACUCGUAUGGUAGUGACCCCCUCUUAACCGAGGCGCGUGUCGCACAUAUGUUAUACGCACUGGUCUCAGAUAGCAACGAACGUGACCGUACUCUAUUGUUGCAGUGAAAAUGUUGCCCUCGCGGCUAACAAACCCACUGCUUAGUGCGCGUGUUGUUUCGGCGACGCGUUAGUACAUUAAACUAUAGAGACCGCUGUUUCUUCUUUAAACCAGAGGAAGGAUACGGCAAUAACAGGUCUGUGAUGCCCUCAGAUGUUCCGGGCUGCACACGUGCUACAAUGAUCAUUGCACUGUGCAUCUAACCCAAUGUGCGCGGACGCCGCGUAUACGUGUUUCCUUCGGGACUCAUGUAUAUUGCUGAGCGACCGCGCCGAACCUACUUCGAAAGUAAAAUUUCUCUGUGGGUAAUCCAUUAGAAGUAAUGACUCGCAUAGACCAUGGCACACUAUAAAAGUACGCGCAGGUUCUACCCGGCUCGCCUUUGUGUGAGUGCAGUGCGUAGCUUGUUGUUUCGUACGUGCCACCUCGUAUUAAUUCGUACGUGGGGACAGAUCAUUGUUUAAUUGUUGGUCUCGGUCUUAACUAGGAAUGCCUUGUACGGGUCUCUGGUUCAACAUACCACCCGGAAUACGUCCCUGCCCUUUGUACACACCGCCCGUCGCUCUUACCGAUGGAUUAUACUAUGAAUCUAUAGGACUGCCAAAGCUACUCGCUCUCGGGCGGAAGCUUAGUAGAAAUAUAUAUGAAUAGUGUGAUCUAAAGGAAAGAGAAGUCGUAACAAGGCAUCGGUAGGUGAACCUGCAGAAGGAUCA